rnacentral:lncRNA from 1 species
GAGAAAGAAUUCUACUGUCUUCUAAGGUUUAAAAGUCCAUCAUCAAUAUUUUAUCCCUGUAACAACAAUCAAUAUUCAUCUUUGCACUACAGGCCAAAGAUAUUCAUUUAAAUCACCAGUUGGUCAUGUUCAUCUCAACACCUGUUCAUCUUUGCACUACAGGCCAAAGAUAUUCAUCAGUUAAUCGUUCAUCUUUGCACUACAGGCCAAAGAUAUUCAUUUAUAUCAUCAUUUAAGACUGAGGAUGAUGAGAAAUAUUUUUAAAGAAACGAAUCCAGUGAAACAAUAUGACAAGGAUUAAGGAUUAAGGAUUCGUACUUUGUUUUACCCAUGUCCAAAAAUACCUCGAAAAUAUUCAUAUUGGUGUAAA